rnacentral:rRNA from 1 species
UGGGGAAUAUUGGACAAUGGGCGAAAGCCUGAUCCAGCCAUGCCGCGUGUGUGAAGAAGGUCUUCGGAUUGUAAAGCACUUUAAGUUGGGAGGAAGGGCAUUAACCUAAUACGUUAGUGUUUUGACGUUACCGACAGAAUAAGCACCGGCUAACUCUGUGCCAGCAGCCGCGGUAAUACGGAGGGUGCAAGCGUUAAUCGGAAUUACUGGGCGUAAAGCGCGCGUAGGUGGUUUGUUAAGUUGGAUGUGAAAUCCCCGGGCUCAACCUGGGAACUGCAUUCAAAACUGACUGACUAGAGUAUGGUAGAGGGUGGUGGAAUUUCCUGUGUAGCGGUGAAAUGCGUAGAUAUAGGAAGGAACACCAGUGGCGAAGGCGACCACCUGGACUAAUACUGACACUGAGGUGCGAAAGCGUGGGGAGCAAACA